rnacentral:rRNA from 1 species
CCUACGGGUGGCAGCAGUGGGGAAUUUUGGACAAUGGGGGCAACCCUGAUCCAGCCAUGCCGCGUGCGGGAAGAAGGCCUUCGGGUUGUAAACCGCUUUUGUCAGGGAAGAAAUCUUCCGAGCUAAUACCUUGGGAGGAUGACGGUACCUGAAGAAUAAGCACCGGCUAACUACGUGCCAGCAGCCGCGGUAAUACGUAGGGGGCAAACGGUACUCGGAGUGACUGGGCGUGGUGCGUGCACAGGCGUUUGAAAUCCCCGGGCUUAACCUGGGAACUGCACUUGUGACUGUACGGCUGGAGUACGGCAGAGGGGGAUGGAAUUCCGCGUGUAGCAGUGAAAUGCGUAGAUAUGCGGAGGAACACCGAUGGCGAAGGCAGUCCCCUGGGCCUGUACUGACGCUCAUGCACGAAAGCGUGGGGAGCAAACAGGAUUAGAUACCCCUGUAGUC